CCUACGGGGGGCUGCAGUGGGGAAUAUUGGACAAUGGGGGGAACCCUGAUCCAGCCAUGCCGCGUGUGUGAAGAAGGCCCUCGGGUUGUAAAGCACUUUCAGUGAGGAAGAACGCCUGGUGGUUAAUACCCAUCAGGAAAGACAUCACUCACAGAAGAAGCACCGGCUAACUCCGUGCCAGCAGCCGCGGGAAUACGGAGGGUGCGAGCGUUAAUCGGAAUUACUGGGCGUAAAGCGCGCGUAGGUGGCUUGAUAAGCCGGUUGUGAAAGCCCCGGGCUCAACCUGGGAACGGCAUCCGGGACCUGUUGAGCUAGGGAUGAGAGAGGGAAGCGAGAUUCCAGGGGGAGCGGGGAAAUGCCGUGGUGACUGGGGGGACAACCGGUGGGGAAGGCGGCUUCUGGGCCAGUACCGACGCUGGGGGGGGGAAGCCUGGGGUACAAACAAGAUUUAAAUCCCGUAGAGGCC
rnacentral:rRNA from 1 species